UAACAAAGGACCUGGUGGCCCCUCAUCAUUCCCAGCUCCUCAUGGGGUAGCUUUGAUGGCUCCGAAGAGUGUGAUGACACCAUUGUGAAGGGUCUCAAGGAACGAUCACCCCCACCAGAGCUUGACAGAACAGGGACCGAAUGACCCGUUGGCCUCCUGCUACGGACUCGCAUAGGACACUGCAGUGAGCUCUGGACCUUUGACUGAAUCCAUUAGUCUUGUGUGCAGACAGACUCUGCACUCUUCCACAUCCAACUCUGUGGGUGGCCAUUCCUCCUGAGGUACAGACUGUGCUUUCCAGGGGAGGUGUGCGCUGCCUGGCUCGAGGCCAGAGCAAACCUCCUCCUCCCGAGCGCCCGCUGUGCAGUGUACUGACUGGGAAGUCGUCGUCCCCCCCUCCCCUUCACGUCUGACCAGCUACAGAUCAGCUCUCCGUGACGAGACCUGAGGAAACCUGGAGAUGCUGCUGGAGGAAAGUGAGCCAGGGCUGAGGCCUGGCGCUCAGGGUGGGCGAAGAAUCUCUCCGCUGCCUGCUUCCCUGUAUGCCGUGGUCUCUGGAGGAGCUCUCAGAAAAACAACAGCCCAGGGCCCACUGCUGUUUCUACAACAAUGAGAAUAUUUAUUUUUUUCCAGACAGUAAAAAUAACAUUUUUCUCUCUUUUGUAAAAGUUAAGUACCAUUACAUUCCAUUUUCUUAAAUAACAAAAUCCUAAAAAUAUAUAUUAAAUUGUAUACAGUGCAUCACACUUCAUUUUAUAUUUUAAAAUACAUGAUGUUUCUAUUUUAUUCUCAGAGUUGCAUAUUAAGAGCAUAUUUACAAAUAAAGCCUUGUCAUCUAAAGUCAAAAUCCCGGCUGGGAAGUGACUUGGAUGUGGGAAGGUCCUGGCGCCAUGUGAACCCCAGGGGUGGCAGCCCCCUGCACAGGCAGGAAGGGGACCUCCUCGGACACUUCCCUUCUGAAGCGAGAGAUUCACCUCUGACUGCCCUCCUCCGCCCGCCCCACGGCCCGCGUCUGCCUCAGAGAGUGCCCGACCCCUGCUCCGCAGGACAGGAGCCUGUGGCACGGCCCGCAGAGGUCUGUCUCCCCUGCGCCGUCCCGCCUGAGGGAGCCAGCAGAGGCUGGGAGAUUUGAAAAACACCCCACACCAGGACAGCUGAACUGAGAAACCUGGCCAGGAGGUAGAACAGGGAGAAGGUAAACAAAGACACCAGAGGAAACAAAGUGUUAAAAAUUCCCAAGGUAGUAACAAAAGCCAACAUCAAACACCAAACAGGAGAUUUGAAACCCAGGAGGCCCCGGAGGACUGAGCUGUGGAGUGGGGGUCUCUGAGGCUGUCCACUUCUAAGUGCUUGUGAAGAUUAAGUGCAUGGUGCCCACAGGAGCUGGGUGGUGGCCUGCUGUGCGCCCUGCUGGUAGACCAGCAGCCAGACUCCGAUCCCAAGUGGGGUCAGGCAGGCUCCCGGCUGGCCUGACUGAGGCGUGGGGGUGGCGUCAGGCCCGGGCACGCCUCGGGUUCAACCUGAGGGCCAGGACAGCUGUACUUGCAAGUGCUUUGAUCUUUGUGGGCCGCUGGCUGGCUUACGUCUGGAGCCAAAGCCCUCAACCCAGUGCUGACUGAUGUGGGGAAAGGCACGGGGUUCAUUCCUGCUCGGCCUCUGCUUUGAAAUGGAUGGGGCAGGCAGGGAAGAGCACAGGGCAGCCAGGGCCUCCACCGGCCUUCAGAGGGACCUAGGCAGUGAGACGCUCCCAGACGCCGGGCAGCCAGGCCCCAGUCGGCCGCGGUGCAGUCACCACAGGAGCAACACACGGGUGGGUGCGCAUGCAGGAAGGCAGGCGGGGUGCCGCAGGGCCGAGGCUGAGCACAGCGCACAGGCUGCGCUGUCCCCUUGGGAAAGGCUCUGGGCCUUCCUCUGCCUCUUUCAAGGUCUCCUUUUUUUUUUUGAGACAGGGUCUCGAUAUGGAGUUCAGGCUGGCCUUGAG